CCGAACCGACUAAUGUUGAAAAAUUAGCGGAUGACCUGUGGCUGGGGGUGAAAGGCCAAUCAAACCGGGAGAUAGCUGGUUCUCCCCGAAAGCUAUUUAGGUAGCGCCUCGUGAAUUCAUCUCCGGGGGUAGAGCACUGUUUCGGCUAGGGGGCCAUCCCGGCUUACCAACCCGAUGCAAACUGCGAAUACCGGAGAAUGUUAUCACGGGAGACACACGGCGGGUGCUAACGUCCGUCGUGAAGAGGGAAACAACCCAGACCGCCAGCUAAGGUCCCAAAGUCAUGGUUAAGUGGGAAACGAUGUGGGAAGGCCCAGACAGCCAGGAUGUUGGCUUAGAAGCAGCCAUCAUUUAAAGAAAGCGUAAUAGCUCACUGGUCGAGUCGGCCUGCGCGGAAGAUGUAACGGGGCUAAACCAUGCACCGAAGCUGCGGCAGCGACACUGUGUGUUGUUGGGUAGGGGAGCGUUCUGUAAGCCUGUGAAGGUGUGUCGUGAGGCAUGCUGGAGGUAUCAGAAGUGCGAAUGCUGACAUAAGUAACGAUAAAGCGGGUGAAAAGCCCGCUCGCCGGAAGACCAAGGGUUCCUGUCCAACGUUAAUCGGGGCAGGGUGAGUCGACCCCUAAGGCGAGGCCGAAAGGCGUAGUCGAUGGGAAACGGGUUAAUAUUCCCGUACUUGGUGUUACUGCGAAGGGGGGACGGAGAAGGCUAUGUUGGCCGGGCGACGGUUGUCCCGGUUUAAGCGUGUAGGCUGGUUUUCCAGGCAAAUCCGGAAAAUCAAGGC
rnacentral:rRNA from 1 species